CGCCGUGAAUCACAUGGGAGUUGCAAAUGCGAUGUUGUGUAUUAGGCUGUACAUCAUAUUAACGUAAAGAGAGUGAUAAUAUAUAUCCUUUCAUCUAUUCCCGAGUGACUCAAAGGGAUAUUGGACCUUAUUUUCAGAUUACAGACAACACGAGAGGGUGCUCCAAACUUUUUAAUCAGGACUGCAUUGUUUGUUCGCUCCCGGGGUUACAUAGACUGAAACGGGGAAGCGUGACAAGUUUGUUUACAUGGUGCUGUAAACUCCAACCCAGGAGGACACUUCAGAGGAAUCAAGGUGUCUGUGAUGUUGAAACACUAAAGGAAGAAGAGGAGGACCACCAUUUGUUUCCUGAUCAGAACACAAGAGAAGAAUCUAACAGUGGUUUGGGGGCAUUGCAAGACCAUGAUUACCUGGAAACAUCUCCUAUUAUGGAAGAGCACAACAUCAUGCUCGCAACAUUUGUGUCCUGGAUCAGUUUUUCUUGUUUCUCUGCUGUAUGAGGCAGGGGCUUCUUUCCGCAGAUUUAGCUCAUACAGCAAACGGACGGUUUGGACUACAGCCCUCUACUUCCCGAUUGAAUGACAUCCAAAGAAGAGUUUUUUUUACUAACUCUCACCCACAGGAAUACGUCAGUCGCAAGCAAAGCUCAAAUGGCUCUGCUAAGCUAAGUUGCUGUUAAAUCACAACACACUAAACAAACUACUACACAAUCAAAACUCGAUAUAUAUUUCUGAAGGAGGGACUUCAUAGAACAAGGAAGAAAUCAGCCCGAUUUUAGGACAGUGAAAACAGUGCUAUAGAAAUAAGUAA